UGUUUUCUUCUUCCCCGAUGAUGCUCGGAGACGAUUUGUAUGAUUUUGGUUGAAUUUGAGUUUAUGAUUUCAAUUUAUGCUGGGACAAGAUCUCCUUCUUCCGUCACCGGUCACGACAACUCAAACGAGACACUUGGCUUGUCUCCGUCUUCGUUCUUCUUCAAACUGUCCUCUUCGGUGAAACUAUGGGCGUCAACGAUUGCUCCGGCAACUCUCACGGACACUGCGUCGCCAAAGUCCUAGGUCGAUUUUCUUUCUAGCCUCUCUCCGAGAAUCCUAUGCUCGGUCCCUCCGCUUCUACGUGAGUAGCUCUGUCGCCGUAUCUAGCUUCUGUUUUGUUAGCUCUCAGCUAGUUUUUUUUUGUUUGUUUCUGGAAUCGUUAUCUUAUUGAAUUUGCUAGAUCCUUUUACAGAUGAAUUUUGGAUGCUUCGUUGCUUAUAACUGUAAUUAAGUGAUUAAUUUUGGGUAAAUUCCUGAAUACAGCCGAUCUUUCCAAUCUUCUUCUUCUGGGUUCUUUUAAGUCAUACUUGAUGAUGUUGAUUCUUUAGUGGUGUCAAUGUGAUAGUUCUUAAGCACUGGAGAGGGCAAGGUGCUUGAUUUCACAUGUUUAUUGCUUGGAACCACUUAUAGGUUGAGUACCAGUUCACAGACAUGAGUCUUCUAGCCAACGAGUCCAUUUCAAAGCACAUAAGCAAAGACCCUGAAGGUUAUGGUAAGCUUAAAUUGUUCUUAAUUAUAUAUUUAUGAUCCUUCAUUUUUGUGCAAAUCUGAUAAGAUCUGUUUUGCAUUCAUAUGCGUACGUGAUUGUGUGUUUCUAUUUUUUUAUUUGUAUUUGCAGAGUUGAUAAGAAUAAGUACCAUAUGAUUCAGAUUCCUCUACCUCCAAAACUCGAUUGCAGUGUGUUCUUCUGCUCUAAUUAGUCUUUUUGUAUUAUUAACCAAUAAUCAUAUUCUUUCUUUCUUUCUUUUUCUCUGCCAGCUGAAAAAUUAACUACAUAAGUCGCAAGUCGUGUUCACCUUUGAUUACAAGAACUUUGCUUCAGCUUGGAAACUGCAUAAAUCAGUUUGAGCGUGGAACCAGUUCCCUGUUCAACGUCACCUCCAUUUUCACUUGAGAGUUAAGGCAAAUCGUUUUUCCUUUGUCUUCUUGUGCAGUUUCAGCAGCUAAAGCAGAGAAGAAGAAGAAGAAACGCCAGUCGGGAAAGAAGAAAAGAGGAAGAAGAAGAUAGAAACGACGUCGUUUUAGCCAAAAGAAACUUCUUUUGUUUUUCAAAACGACGUCGUUUCUUACGUGGCCUACACGUAAUCAGCUGUUAACGGUCUCUUAACACCGUUACGGCUUGUGUAUAUUUUAACACUGUUUUACAAGUUGGGGUAGUGAAUUUGAAUUUUAUUGAACUUAAUGUAUGGAUUUGCCCAAUAUUAAAACUGGGGUAGGAAUUCAACAACCCCAUCUAAGGGGUAUGAAAUUACCGAUUUUCCCAUUCUACUGUUUUAAUAAACUAACUUUACGAAA